CCAGGUGCUGCCGGGACAUAUUUUCCAGUGGUAGCAGUGUCCUCCUGCCCAUGGCCGCCCACAGCCGCCCCCGCUGCAUCGACUCACUGCGGCAUAAAUGAAGCAAACGGCUCUGAGCGUCCAGCACAAGCACAACGACGCUUCGCUGCAGAACUGCAGAGCAGCUGAAGGCGGAGAGGGAGCGCAGCCUCCGGUGGUUUCAGGGUUCAUCUGCUGAAAUCAAGACUGCUGUGGAGCUACAAAAGCCUCAACGUUUUACCAGAACAUAUAUUCCUGCAGUAAGCUGCCAGGUAGACUCCAGAGGAGCGACAACCAAGAUUCUAAUAUAAAUGUGAAUUUAAUUUGUUAUUGUCACUCACUGAUUGUAUUUCUUCAUUACUUGUUGGUUCCAGCAAGAAAAUUUGAAAACUUGUUUAUAUUAAAUGCAGAAAAGCCCAUAUUUAGGUAAUGAUUGAAAAACAUUCCAAAUAUGAACAAAUUAUUGAAUUGCAAACCUUGUUCCAAGAUGUUUUCCCUUAUUACCUGUUGUUUUUGUCAGCUAAUAGAUUCCAGUGAAUCUACUAAAGCAACAUUACUCACUGUUGCUUUCAGAACAUCAAAUGACUAACAGGUGAGAAUGAACCUGGAGAUUAUUGACUAUGUUGAAACAUUCUCAAUAUGGAGUUUCAUUUUUCAUUUACACCCAUAAAAGCUGAAGUAAUUAUCUAGCUUCUCUUGUAAAAGUGCUAAUAGAGAUGACAGAAAAAGGGUUCUCUGGAGAAGAGAAUCCACAAGUUAGUGUGGCUUUUUCAAAGACAACAUAUUGUGCCUAAAAUCAGUGUCUUGUUUCAUUAAGUUAGUGCUUGUAGCUGAUGUAAUUUGCUGUGGAACAGGGCAGCUUGCCCUGCCAGUAGAGAAGUCAUAUCCAAUCACAGAGCAGCUAAUUGACAGUCUCAUGUGGGGAGAACAGCUAAUUGAUUAUAGGCCUGUCCUGUUCUGAAGCGCCAGGGGACCAAUGGCAGUGGACUCUGGGAAGGUUUGGAUCUGCACACACUAAUUACACAGACUUUGGGUAUUUUUCUUUUUUUCAGAAAUAAAGAGAGACAGCUUUUACUA